rnacentral:tRNA from 1 species
GCUGUGAUGGCCGAGUGGUUAAGGCGUUGGACUCGAAAUCCAAAGACUGCUUGCAAUC